rnacentral:piRNA from 1 species
UUCCUGCAGAAAUCCUAAAACUUCCAGGUA